rnacentral:rRNA from 1 species
GAGUGGUUGGGAUGUUUACUGGGUCUAAAGCGUCUGUAGCCGGCCGGGGUAGUUCCCCGUUAAAUCCAACGAUUCAAUCGUUGGGCUGCGGGGAAUACUCUUCGGCUUGGGGGCGGGGGAUGUCGGCGGUAGUCCCGGGGUAGGGGCGAAAUCCUAUAAUCCCGGGAGGACCACCAGUGGCGAAGGCGGCCGACAAAAACGCGCCCGACGGUGAGGGACGAAAGCUGGGGGAGCGAACGGGAUUAGAUACCCCGGUAGUCCCAGCUGUAAACGAUGCAGGCUAGGUGUUGGAGCGGCUACGGGCCGCUCCAGUGCCGCAGGGAAGCUGUUAAGCCUGCCACCUGGGAAGUACGGUCGCAAGGCUGAAAUCUUCAGGGAGCGGACUUCAGGAAGACAGUAUACUUAGAGGAAUUGGCGGGGGAGCACCACAAGGGGUGAAGCCUGCGGUUUAAUUGGAGUCAACCCCGGGAAUCUUACCAGGAGCGACAGCGGGAUGAAGGUCAGAUUGAAGGUCUUACCGGACUAGCUGAGAGGAGGUGCAUGGCCGUCGCCAGUUCGUGCCGUGAGGUGUUCUCUUAAGUGAGAUAACGAACGAGACCCGCGCACCCAGUUGCCAGCAGAUUCCAUUAGGAGUCUGGGCACACCGAGUGGACUGCCUUCGCUAAGAAGGAGGAAGGAGCGGGCCACGGCAGGUCAGUAUGCCCCGAAUCUCCUGGGCUACACGCGGGCUGCAAUGGCUGAGACAAUGGGUUCCCACCCUGAAAAGGGGAGGUAAUCCCUAAACUCAGCCUCAGUAGGGAUCGAGGGCUGCAACUCGCCCUCGUGAACAUGGAAUCCCUAGUAACCACGUGUCACCAUCGCGUGGUGAAUACGUCCCUGCUCCUUGCACACACCGCCCGUCGCUCCACCCGAGUUUGGUUUGGGUGAGGUGCGGUCCAGUUGGCCGUAUCGAACCUGAGCUAAGCAAGGGGGGAGAAGUCGUAACAAGGUAACC